rnacentral:rRNA from 1 species
UACGUAGGGGGCGAGCGUUGUCCGGAUUUAUUGGGCGUAAAGAGCGUGUAGGCGGCCAGGUAGGUCUGCUGUGAAAACUCGAGGCUCAACCUCGAGACGUCGGCGGAAACCAUCUGGCUAGAGUCCGGAAGAGGAGAGUGGAAUUCCUAGUGUAGAGGUGAAAUUCGUAGAUAUUAGGAAGAACACCGGUGGCGAAGGCGGUCCACUGGCUCGGUACUGACGCUGAGGUGCGAAAGCAUGGGGAGCGAACAGG